CCUACGGGUGGCAGCAGUGAGGAAUAUUGGUCAAUGGACGAGAGUCUGAACCAGCCAAGUAGCGUGAAGGAUGACUGCCCUAUGGGUUGUAAACUUUUUUUAUAAAGGAAUAAAACGAGGCACGUGUGCCUUUUUGCAUGUACUUUAUGAAUAAGGAUCGGCUAACUCCGUGCCAGCAGCCGCGGUAAUACGGAGGAUCCGAGCGUUAUCCGGAUUUAUUGGGUUUAAAGGGAGCGUAGAUGGGUUGUUAAGUCAGUGGUGAAAUUUUGCGGCUCAACCGUAAAAUUGCCAUUGAUACUGGCAGUAUUGAGUACAGGAGAGGUAGGGGGAAGUCGGGGUGUAGCGGUGAAAUGCGUAGAUAUCACGAAGAACCCC
rnacentral:rRNA from 1 species